rnacentral:lncRNA from 1 species
ACCUUGUUCUUGAGCUGUCCGGUUGCCACAGGGUCGGACCUGGAGGCUGCAGACCAUCGUGGCCCUUUGCAGUGUUCGGAAACAUAUGCGCACCCCAGAAAAAAACAUUCCUUGGAAAAGCUGAACAAAAUGAGUGAAAACUCAUACCGUCGUUCUCAGCGGAACUGAGGUCCAGCGCGUUGCCUCCAGCAGGGACUGUUGGAGUGAGGGAGAGCUUCCACUAGUCCCUAUAGGUUCCACCACCCAGGGCAUCCGCAGGGACAGUUGCCGUGGGAGGUCCGCUGCCUGCUGUCAAGGAAGAUGGUCGAUGCUUCUGAGAAACAGGCCCUGCGGGUUCCUGGAUUUGGUGUGGCCUGGCAUCCACGGUGCACCCCGUGCUGGCGGGUGGCCCAGGACGGGGCAGUUGCCUUGAGAGGCCCACCGCCUGCUGGCAUGACAGAUGGUCAGUUCUUCCGAGCAGUGGAAUCUCCAUGGAGUCGUGGAGUCGGUGUGGCCUCGCAUCCACAGUGCACCCUGUGCUGGUGGAUGGCUCAGGACAGGGCAGUUGCCGUGGGAGGCCUGCCGUCUGCUGAAAGGAAGAUGGUUGAUGCUUCUGAGCAAUGAAGGCCCCAUGGAGUCCUGGAUUCGGUGUGGCCUUGCAUCCGUGGUGCACCCCGUGCUGGUGGAUGGCUCAGGACGGGGCAGUUGCCAUGGGAGGCGCAGGCCUGCUGGAAGGAAGAUGGUCGAUUCUCCCAAGCAACAAAGGCCACGUAGAGUCCUGGUUUCAGUGUGGCCUGGUAUCCACAGUGCACCCCGUGCUGGUGGGUGGCUCAGGACGCACACUCAUUUCCUCUGCACCUUCCUGGUGUCAUUGGCAUGGAAGGAAGGCCCUUGUCCAAGAAGGAUGGUCUUCGUCUUGUGUGAUCUUUGAGAUGCCAUGAGGCCCCUGGAUACAAAUGGUGUGGGCUCCUUUGGAGGCUUUUGGAUUUCUCCUGAAUGUGGCGUUGGUAUGGAAGGAAGGCCAGUGACCGCAAGGGAUGACUUUGAUCUUGGGAGAUUUUUGGAGAUGGCAAAGUGCUUCUAAACAUGUUUGGCAUGGUCUCCUUCAGGCUGGUGGAUACCUCAGGAUGGUGGCGUUGGCAUGGAAGGAAGGACUGUGUCUGUGAGGGAUGAUCAUCCUCUCAUGUGAUCCUUGGAGAUGCCAGGAAGCCCCUUGACACAUGUGGCAUGGGCUCCUUCAGAGGCUUUUGGAUCCGUCGUGAAUGUGGCAUGGGCAUGCAAAGAAAGACAGAGGCUGCAAGGGAUAAACUUCAUCUUGGGAGAUCCCUGGAGAUGGCAGGGAACCCAUGGACACAUGUGGCAUGGGCUCCUUUGGGUGCCGGUGGAUCCCUUCAUACGGUAGUGUUGGUGUAAAAGGCAAACCCGUGUCAUGAGGGAUGGUCAUCAUCUUGUGUGAUCCUUGGAGAUGGCAGGAAGCCCUGGACAUACAUGGUGUGGGGGCUCCUCCAGAGGCUGUUGGGAUCCUCCUGGAUGUGGUGUGGGCAUGGAAGGAAGGCCAGUGGAGACAAUGGAUGAUCUUGUUCUUAGCAGAUCACUGGAUGUGGCAGGGAGUCCUAGGACAUGUGUGGUGUGGGCUUCUUCAGGUGCUGGUGGUGUUGGCAUGAGGAAAGGAGGUAUCUUCGAGGGACAAUCUUCUUCUUGUGCGAUCCUUGGAGAUGCCAUGAGGCCCCUGGACACAUGUGGUGUGGGCUCCUUUGGAGGCUGUUGUAUCCCUUCUGAAUGUGGCGUGGGCAUAGAAGGAAGGCCAGUGGCCACGAGGGACAAUCUUGGUCUUGGGAGAUCCUGGAAAUGAUAGGGAGUCCCUUGAUAUGUGUGGCAUGGGCUCCUUCAGGUGCUAGUGGAUUCCUUAGGAUGGUGGUGUUGGCAUGAAAGGCAGGCUUGUAUCAUGAGGAAUGAUUGUCAUCUUGUCUGAUUCUUGGAGAUGGCAGGAAGCCCCUGGAAACACAUGGUGUGGACUCUUUCACAGGCUGUUGAAACCCUCCUGAAUGGGCAAGGACUGGAUCGAUGAUGACUUCCAUAUGUACAUUCCUUGGAAAGCUGAACAAAAUGAGUGAAAACUCUAUACCGUCAUCCUCGUCGAACUGAGGUGUUGUGGCCAUGGAAGUAAGGCCAGUGGCUACGAGGGACAGUCUUCAUCUUGGGAGAUCCCUAGAGAGGGCAGGGAGCCCCUUGACAUGUGGAAUGUGAUCUCUGUUGGGUGCUGGUGGAUCCCACAGGUGGUCUGGCAUGGAAGAAGGCCAGAGGCUGCGAUGGAUCAUCUUUGUCUUGGGAGAUUCCUGGAGAUGGUGGGGAGCCCCUGGGCACGUGCAGCAUAUGUGGCGUGGGCUUCUUCAGGUGCUGGUGGAUCCCUCAGGAUGUUCAUUGUGGAACCAGCACAGAUUUUCAUACGAAAGUUAUUUCUUUUUAACCUCAAAAAGUGACAGAAUGGAGUGUAUCAUGAAAAAGUCUGACAUCAAAACCUCAAAAUGUGAUAUUGAUUGGGUGAGAUAGAAUUCCAUGGAAUUUCAUUGCCAAACCAGUGAAGUGCUAAUUUUGACAUUUGUACCAGCUAACGUAGCUGUGAAGAAACACACCAAUACACUUCUAAGGACAGCAUAGACCAAGAUCUAGGUUUCAUAUGGAUGAAUUUAUUCUUCCCUUUGAGGCAAGACAAGAAGGAAAGAAAGUAUUGGGAAUAAUGCUGCCCUCCCAUCCUCAAGGGCCAGUGGGAACUCUAAUAUUGAUUGGUUUUCACAGAAUUCCAUGGACUUUAACUGCUGAACCAAUGAUGCACUGAUUUUGUCACUUGUACCAGCUAACGCAUCUGGGAGGCAACAAAACAAUACUCUCCUGAGGUUAAUGUGGACCAAAAACUAGAUUUCAUAUAAAAGAGUUUAUUCCUUCUACUUGAGGUGUGACAUGAAGGAAAGUAAUGGAAAUAAUUCUGCCCUCCCAUUCUCAAGGGCCAGGGGGAAUUCAAAUAUUGAACGGAAGUGAUUUUGGAAUUGCAUGGAAUUCUCACUGCCAUCCCAAAGAAAUGCUGAUCUUGUCACUCUUACCUGUUUCAUUCCCUGGGGGCAGAACAAAAGGACGCACUCCAAAGAUCGGCAUGAACCAAGAACUGGGUUUCAUAUAAAAUAUUUUAUUCUGUCCUCUUGAGAUGUGACAUGAGAAAAGUAUUGAGAAUACUUCUAUCACCUCAUCUUCAAGAAUCCGUAGGAAUUCUCCCAUGGUGGACUUUACGGUUAACCUGAACAGGUCUUGGAAAAAGGACUUUAAACAUUCUCCUGUUCUGUGGAAUAAGUAUACUUUUUUCUGGACAUACACCUUGUCAGUGAGUUCCAUGUGAUACUAGAGUUGCAUAGAUUUUUAACCUUUACGCCAAUGAAGAUCUGAGGCAAACAUUGCCCCUUUUUUAGAAGUUUGCAUUUGUCACUGAUAACUGUAAUAAUUGAUCUUGUUGAAAAGCCUGGGAAAUGAAGAUCUGAUAUGUCACUUUUACCGGCUUCCUCAACUGAAAAAGAAUACAAUGAAACACGCUGAGAAUUUUUGUGCUUUCUCAGUCUUGCUGAUGAUCUUUCUAUGGGCCUGAAGCGUGGAGAGUGCCAGAGAGGCUGAUCCUCAGCAGUGUGGCAGAGGAAAGUUGGGUGCGACUAAGGGGUAUGCGGUGCCCACAUGCCACUGGGUCCUCAGCAGUACCACCUGAUUGGAAGUGAUAUUGGUGGAAGACAACAUUUUGCCGCUUGGAAUUCUCACCUCCACACCAAAGAAGUACUGUUUUUGUCAUUUGCACCAGCUUCUUUCUCCAGGAAAGAUCAAAACGAUGCACUGCAAGUGUGAUUGGUCCAGAUAGCUGCCUUAUCCAACUGCCUCCUUUGGACCACUUCAUCAUGGGACAGCUUGAUGCAAUCUACUUGACAAGACCCUGGAACCCCACACCCCUCAUGGAACCAGUGUCCACCUCCCAGUCACAGUGUGACCCCAGGGAACUCUUGCCUGCUUGCUUUAAACCCACCACUUAAAAGUCUCCACAGAAAACCUGUUUGAAUAGUACCCUUGACCCAAUAAGGGCAUUGGCCCCUGGGUGUCUCUCUCUCUCUCUCUCUCUCUCUCUCCCUCUCUCUCCCUCUCUCUCUCUCGCUCCCUGACCUCUGCGUGUGGACUCCAGGCAUGCCAUAUACCCCUCAGGACCUGAAGCAAAAGAAUGAAUUAAAGAAAACUCCAGAGAAUGAGCUGACAACCUACUCCCUGGUCAGUGGCUCUCCAUGCCUACCUGUGGUCUCUUGGACACCCUUGCAGAAGAUGACUUCCUGGGAACUCUUCUGGGAGUGAAUGUUAUCAGCAAAUUCCCAAAACAACACCCCUUAGACAAAAAGCCUCCUCACCUAUGCAUUGCCUAGACCACCCACUAAAGGUGAUGGCCACAAAGAGGUGGAUUUGUUGAGUUGGUGCCAUUCCUUCUACUGCCAGCUUCACCAAAACAAUGACACAGUCUUCCUUCCGCAUGGAGACUCUUCUCUUUCCUGUGUUGCAGUGGAUGCCUCCUGCAGAUAAGAAAUGCUUAACUGAGAAAUGCUCAUGUUGGGAUAUCAUCGAUGAGACUUUAAUUUGGGCAUGGUGACUGUUUCCCUUGCUGCCACUUGACUCAAUCCCAGGAGCCUCAGUAGAGGAUAUAAUAUUACACAAGAUGCUCAAAAUGGUGGAAUUGCUCAGUGCUCCCAUAAAUAUACAUUUAUAAUUUUCAUUUGCCACAUGGUAAACUGAAAAAUACAGACUAUAUUAAAAAGAAACUGCAUGAUUUUUUUUCAAAAAUUCAAAGCAUAUUUAAAUAAUAUAUAAAUUAAAUGCCCUCCUCUCUUCCAAUUCUGUCCCUAUAGUUUUCCUCUAUUAAGUGAACUACAUGCAUUCUUUUAGUGGAUAGAUGCACACAAACACACAAGCCAUUAUGGGGAAGGAUCCACGUGUGUGGCCAUAUUGUAACACAUUUUUCUGCAAAUCACCUCUUUCAUUUAACAGCCCUUAUUCAAUGGCCUUUUUCUUUUUCAGUAGUACAUACACAUCUGUGUCAUUUGUUGAAUGACGACAUGAAUGUUUUGUAGAUAAAAUAUAAUUAAAUGUUUUAAGCAUUUCUCACUCAUAGAUAUUUAUGUUAGCACCAAAUUUCUGUGCAAUGAACCUCCCUAUAUAUCAGUAAUUUUGCAUUUGUCUAUAAUAUCAUAAUAAAUUACUUAUCAGUUGAAUUACUGGGAUUAAGUAUGUGCACACUUUAUAUUUAUAUUUUGAAAAUUAUUGCAAGAUUGCCUUCAAAAAUGUGGUUAACAACUUUAUCUUCAAAUGGCAAUGAAUGAGAUUGCCAGCUUUCCUACAGCCUCACAGACAAUGGAUUUUAUAAAUAUUUAACAUUUUUGCCAAUGUGAUCACCCAAACUAUUGUCUUAAAUUGUAUCUCUUUUGUUUUUGAGUUUGGUCAUUUUUUCAUGUUUAUUAGCCAUCUGUAUUUUUUAAUUUCUUCUUUAUGUCCAAUUUUGUGGGUGGGAGGAGGAUUUAGUCUCUUCCUGAUUUCGAAGAGCUCAUUUACUAUUUCGGGAAAUAAGAUUUGGAUUGUCAACCAUUAUAGCUAUUUUUUACACACUUUUCAACUUUGUUUUUGUUAUAAGAAUGUGUAUGAUUGUUACAUGUCCAAGUAUAACCAUGUUCGCUUUUAUGGCUUCUGAGUUUCAUGUCAUUUUUGGAAAGAUAUAUAUAUUGAGUCCAUAAAACCCUUCACCUAUGUUAAAUUCUAAUUCUUUUGUGUUUUUUUAAUUCAAAUUCUUAAAUCAUGAGAAAUUUUUUUGUUUUGAAAUCUUAAAGUUGCCAAGUUACUUGCCAUUACUUGCGAUUAUUUGCCAAUAAUUGCCCAUUUAUCUGUACCGCCAUCUUGCGCAUAUGCUGUACUCUCAUCUGUGACUGGCUCCAUUUUUGUUCUGUGGAUUUGUGUGUCUCUUCUUCUGCCUCCUGUCUCGUGUCUGCUCGUUGGAAGAAAUUACAGUUUAGACUGCAAUUUCAUCAACUUUAAUAAAUCAAUUGAGGGGAGAAUUGGUUUUUAAAAAUAUUAAGUAAGUCUUCGUAUCCAAGGACAAGGUAUGUCUUUUCUUAUUCAAUAAUUUUAAUUACUGUUAAUAUUUUCACUGUGGUGAUGGGAGUUUUUCUUUUAAUUUAUUUUCUUGUUCAUUUUUUGUAUCUAAAGUUUUUGUUUUGUUUUGUUUUGGGGGUAAGUUGUCACCUUACUGUUUCUUGUUGCUUUUCAGAUUUUUUCAAAGUAUAGACUAAAUCCUUCACAAAUAUUUAAAGUUUUUAUUUUCCCCCUUCAUAUUGAUCCUGAUUUUAGUUAUGUUGACAAAGUCCACAGACUGUUACUAUCAGAACACUUGAACAGUUAUGGAAAUAUUACCUACCCUUGAUUUAAUCAGAGUUUAAUGGUAUGCUUCUUUGGUUUGACUGGCACAUUGUCGCUGGUCAUUUCCUCCCAAAGACCACCAGAAAGAGCUAUGAUCAAGCAAAGCUGAGUUUGUUAAACUUACCUGCAGCAAGGGAAAACACCACCUUGAUAGGGUUUAAUAAUGUUUCAAAAUCAAGAAAUGAGGCUUUGGGGUCUGGGCAGGGAACUAAUUAGAAAUGGGCAAAAUUUGUCAUGCAAUACCUUGUGGGAAAGUGAGAUGAGGUUCUUAAUGUGAGUAUUGAUGGUGAAAUCAUUUUCUAGGUGAGCUGUUUGCCUAUAUAAAGAUGUUAUCAAUGACAGAAGAACUAUUUGCCUAGAUAAACAAACUGAAUUUAUUUAUUGGUUUACAGUUUUAUCUUGCUGGGCAGGACUCUGCUGGGGGUGGUAUCAGGUCUUAUUCCCAAUAGGUAAGUUAUUUGGAUAUGGGUGGUCUUAAUCAUCAAUGUGUAAAAUGCUGAUUUUAAGUGCGAAAUACUUUGUCUACCAUGUUAGGAAAGUCUGCCACCUUUUAUCUUUUUUAAGGAAUUUUAAUCAAAACCAGGUGGUAGAUAUAAUCAAAUUGUUUUGCAGAAUCAAUUUUCCUGUUCUCUUUAAAGACUUUUAUCACUGUGAAUUAAUUUACUAUUAUUGCAACUUCCUUUAAUUCCUUGAAUGAACAGACCCUACUGGUUUUAAAAAUGUUUUAUUCUUUUAAUUUACUACUUAAUUGUGGGUAUUUUAAUUUGAUUUGGAAUUUUUACAAGUAUACAACUAAGUGAAAUUGAUCUGUGAUUUUUCUUUUUUGUGCUAUUUUUGUCAUGUUUUGAUAUCAGAUAUUCUGGUUGUGUUAAAAUAAUUUUGAGGAUUUUCUUCUUAUACUGUGUUCUAGAGUGGGUAAAAAAGCCCUAGUCUCACUAUCAGUGUUUAAGUGAACACAUCAGUGACAUCAUCUGGACUCUCCUUUGUUUUUGCUGGUUUGGAGUUAGGACAUCUAGAAGUUUUUUUCUUUUUUUCCUUUUUUUGUAUGGUUAUUGCUUGUUCUUUGUUUUGUGUCAAAUUUAACCUGUUUUCUCUUAGCAAAUCACAGCUCAUGCAGAUUUUCAAACACAUUAGCCUUGUUAUACAAAGUGUUCUUUCAUCAUUCUAUUAAAUUUCCAUUUUCAUUCCAGUUAUAGUUAUUUCUGCUGUGCCUUUGUUAAUGAAUAAGUUUAAACAGUGGAUGUUUAGCAUCACUAGCCUUCCCCUUCCAUCUCCCUUAAUCAGGACCUUGGUAUAAUUUAUCAGGUAUUUUUUAAGGUUCUAAUUUACUUAUAUAUAUUGUUUCUGUAUUCUUUUGUUUCUUUUCUUAAUAAAUUCUUAAACCUGUGUAA